rnacentral:lncRNA from 1 species
ACUCAAACAUUUUUAGCAUGUUUCAUGCAUCAUUUAUGCCAUGUUUAUAGGUUUGCAUUAGUGAGCACGAAGAUGUUGCAUUAAUCAGUGCAUGUACAGAUCGGGCGUAGCUUGGAUUCAUUAGCCCCCUAAAUGAAGCCCUGAGGAGCCCUGAAAGGGCCGGGCACACGGUACCAUAGGGUGCUGAAUGAAGACCUGAGGAGCUCCUUCGCGGGCCGGGCAAUGUGGGGGAAUUUUGAAUUAGUCCGUCUGAGAUUAUGUGAUUUACUUGUGUUAUGAUGCAUUCCAUGAGAUCAUGUUUUA